CUUAAAAACAUGUAUCAUUCUUAUCCCAAAUCUGUGUUCUCUUGAUUUACCAUUGGAAAUUCAAUGUUUCCUUUACAAAAACAUGCAGUUUUUAAAAAUGAAAUAUUACUUCUUAGUUUAAAAGCAAGGUUAUAUGUUCAGGACCAAGAAGACAUAGGCCCGAAUAUGUGGGAGUUAUAGAUAGAGGGAUAAAGAACAUAAAACAUGCCAAAUUAGGACAUCAGAGAUAUUGAUAUUGAUCUGAUUGGCUAUUAUGGCUUCUUCCCUCCUCUGUUCACUCUGGUAGUUUUCUCAGGUAAGAGUUCAGAAAAACCAAAAUAAGAUGCAGAGGGAAGACUUGGUGAAUCUUAUAUGUAAAGUGCUUAGAACAGCGCCUGGUGCAAUAUCAAUGCCCAGUAAAUGUUAGCUCUCAUCACCAUCAUCAUCUUCACUUCCGCCAUCAGCACCAAGUGCUUCUCCAGGGAGGGUGAGGGUAGGAAUUAGGUGGGCACCAGCAGCGGUGGGCAGAAUCACAAAGGAAAAAAGAGAUUGCAAAGAGCAGCCUGCAAUGAAGUCACGGAAAUUUUCUGAAAAUUCUGGGUUGUGAUUUAGAAGGCAAAUAUGACGUGAUCGACGGAGCUGUGUUGGAGGAAUUCACGGGGGUGGGAGGUAGGAAAGUUGUAGACAUCGGUAAGGCAGAAAAAUGGAUCAGUCAGGGAGAAGUGCUUGGGGAGCCCUUGUAUUUCAGGAAGGGAAAUACCAGCUAGGAAGGGAAUUUGAAAUUUGGGUUCCUCUUGCUAAAACACAAACUACCUGGUCAGAAGACUCAUCCAGCAUCUGUCAGGGAGACUCUGGGUAGUGUCUACUUGUUGCUGUACUUAAGGCAGUCCUUGGAAAAAAGCUUGGCAGGAGCACUUGACAGAGAUAAAUCUACUGAUGGAAGGUGCCAGGACAGAAAUGGAUGUGGCUGCACACGUGGGGAUGACUGGUGGAGGGGCAGGUGGGCUGUGAAGAGGGGCCAGGCUGGGGCAGCUGCGGCCAGGCUGCCAGAAACUGAUUUCCACACUGCGUGAGGAAGGAACGCUAGGGGAGGGGCCGGACUACUUUUUGUAGGAGGCUAAAGGGAGACAAGGACAGAGCUGCCAACUGCCACGCAUCUGGGGAGAUCAACAACUGGCCAGAUGUUUUAGACACAACCUGCGUGGCCACCUGAGCAUAUGCCAGUUAUCAAGACGGAUGAUACGCAAUAGCCAACUGGGGCACUAGGCUGUGUCUUUCUGAACUCACGGGCUGUCUGUGCCAUGCAUGCUGAUGUGGGGGACAUGGAGAGUUGCAAGUGACGCAAUGCAAAGUGUGUGCUGUUUCCGUAGCUAAUUAGGAGCCUGGUGACAAAGCAGGAGCCUGGCAGAGAGAAUGCCAUCGGAGCUCCUCUGGAACAUGUCCUUGGCUUCUCAGAGUGUGAAGUGUGUGUGACAGUGCUUUUCUGAGGACUCAGGUGACCUGGAGGCUGGAGAACAGCACGGAGCAAGGAAAACAAAGAUGAUGUGCUGGAGUGUGUGUUGCUUUUAUAAUUAUGUGAAAGAAAAUGUAGAGAAAUUUGAAAGUGUAUAUCCAUGCCAAAUAGACACGGAGCUGGACGGGGCAUGACUCGAAAUGCUGUGGGUUGAUUACAGACAAGAAAACUGAAGUGCCAAGAGGUCAAAUAACUUGCCCAGGGCCCCUCAGCUAGUUGAUGCAAGAACUAGGAUAUAAAUCUACAGUUAUCCGACGUUAGUGCCUUUCCUCGUACUCAUCUUUUUUGUUGGAUUGCUUGUUUUUGAUUUUUGUGUGUUAUUGAGACCUGAGCAACAGUCCUACGGCCCUGGAUCCUGAAAGAGUCUGCCAGAACCGAGGACGUUGUCAUGCGUCUCUGUUUCGGAGUUGUGUGCUGCACAGCAGAAGUGGGCAUGGCUAGCGUUCGCCUAUCUCCUAGGAUCAUCUGCAGGAGGCCUGGCCUGUGACGGGCACUAUGCAGGGAGCGUUUGGAUGGUUUUUCCCUCUCAGUCAUGCUGAUUCCCUGAUCCAUCUGCCUUGUUGGCUCUUAAACUGCAAACAGGAAAUGAAACUGAAAAAAGCAGAAAAUGGUGCUUUCAAGAAAAGGAAAAGCAUCUUCCUUGAGGCAGUGACACUCUGAGAAGGGGAGUGAUGACUAAGAGGUUUGUGAGAUGCUGUUACCUGGUGAUGAGGAGCCACAAAAACUAGAUGCAGAAUAGGAGUGCCAUGUGUGCCUGUGCGUAGCUGGAGCCCAGGCCUCUUGUCACUGGAGGGUGGAGUGUGAGUUGUCAGCUUCAAGCAGGAUGUCAACUAAGCCUGCAGCACCCUGAGGGCAAACAGUUGAAUAAAAUGCACGCUUGAUGAGAAUGUUCAGCUUACAGAUGUCACUAAGCUUCAGCCACGGUUGCUAAGAGCAAAUAAAUCACUGCUUGCAACACUGGAUCCCACAAACCUGAUGCUCUCUUUUCUCACCCAUGGGGGAGAAGAGGUACAGGAUAAACCCUGCUUCUUGGCAGUCAGUCUCAGCAAUAUCAUUUUGUGUUUUGAAACUGCUAGCAAAUCAUGACUGAGCCAGUCCACUGCUUUGAGCAGGUAGUGGUGGACUCUUCCUUUUGUGUUACCGACGAGAAUCCUAAGAAGAGCAAAAAUCCCGAGACGCAGGGAAGUAGACAGGCAACACCAGAGUCCCCAGCUCGUCCUGCAUUUAUUCCCUCUGACUCAAGAUGGCAGGAGUAGGGUGUGACUGUUGCUUGAUCCUGGGAAGGGCAGGAUUGCGUUUUCUCCUGACUUCAGUGAUCAUUGUUCUUUAAUGUUGUAUCUUUGGGCGGCAUGUGAUCUGUUAGAGUCUAGGGGACCUGUUCUUUCCUAGUGAAGAAACAUUGCUCCGAAACAGCAGUGGUGUUUGCAAACAGCAGACAUAGGUAGCAAGCAAAGGAUGCUCUGCUACGUGUGUGCCUAGGUAAUCCUCCCACAUAUAUUUUAUCUUAAAAAUAUGUAUUAAAUUGUAAGACUCUUAGAAAAUACUUGUCCCUAUACUUGGGAAAUUAAGAAAUAAUACAGGCAUCACCUCACCCUCCUCACUUCCCAGCUAUUAUCAUGUUUGCCUAUGAAUUUCUACUUAGGAAAUGUCUUCACAUUUGUGGUACAAGUCCACAAACAUUUGCUGAGCCCCUAACACGCACUAGCUACAAAGCUGGCUGGAGAAGCUUUGGGAAGUUUUGGGAGUGUCCAUUUAACCAAAUGGUAAGUAACUUAAAUAUGAUUUUUAAAAAGUAAAACAAACGGGGUUAUACUAUGGGGUAGAAUUGUAAAAAGUGGAUGAAUCAAAUUUUAAUACAAACUGAGACUUCAAAAAGGGCUACACAGCUUCUGUAAGAAGAAUGGAUUAAAUGGAGUGGAGGCAGGAAUGUCUGCAGCGGCCUUUGCAGUUGGUUGAGGUGGACCCCAUGGCAGAUGAAAACCAAAUGAGGUCAGCGAGUGAGAAGGGAGGAAACAGGGUGGAAGACAGACAUUCUCAUAAAGUGGAGCUGAGAGGACUUGUGAUUGGUGCAGAUGGCACAAGAGGCAGAGGGAGGCGUUGAUAUUAUUGACUGUUUUCCUUGACUAAUUUCCAGAAAUUAGUCAAGUGUCGAGUGUCGACCUCCAGAGUCAAGUGUCGACUCUGAAGCCACAUCGCAGCACUUCAUCUUGUCCCAUUGCCGCAUGAUAAUGCGAACAGCAGUAAUCCUACCAGCUCGCGCUGGUGCGUUCUCGCUACAUGCUAGGCAUCACGUGACCUCUUCCCACGCGUUCUCUUCUUUAAUGUUUACAUCCACCUAUGAGGUAGGCUCUAUUCUCAGACUUCUUUCACAGAUGGAAAAAACUUGAGGCUCAGAGAGGUUAGGCAACUUGCCCAGGAUUAAACAGUUGUUCAUAUGUGCCAGCACCCAGGUGACUAAAACACCAGGAAGGCAUCUUCCAGGUUGAAGGACCAUACAUAAAUACAAACAGCAGCUCCUCAGUUUUAUUAGAAUCCAUUGACUAUGAACCUUUCUGCAUGAUCUACUUUGUUUUGGAUGGUAGUAACAUACCCCACUUUACGUACCUUCUAUAACAUUUUAACAAUUUUGUAAGAAGCCCUCUUAAGAGGUAUAAACCCCUGACCUCUUAUACAGAGAGUUUUGCACAUCGUUCAGCCUUUUGUUGGAACUUCAUUUUGCUAUCAGGAACAUCCAUAGUGUAAUUGGGAGAGAACUGGGGUGCUGAGGUGAGCAGGAGGCCAGCUCUUCCCUGUUUCUCUAGAGCCCACCUCACUCCACUGCGACCUCCAUUCCCACAGCCUCCAUCCCCACCUCUUCACUCGCUCUGAUGCCACUUCCUUGUCUGCCAUCUGCUGAAGCUUCCCUCCAUCCUCCCUCUUUUAUUUUUCUGUCUCCUCUUCCCAGCAUUUCUCAGCUUUCACAGGGAAUGCGCUGUCUUGUACUGAUGCUAGGGCUAUGAUAUGCUGAGUGCCAGCCACUGGAAGAGCUCUACUUCCACGGCCCUGCUGGAUCCUCACCGCAGACCUAGGGGUGUCUCAUUCUGGUUCCAGCAGAGAGCAGCAGGCUCAGGAGGCAGCCAUUUACCUCAGCAGGCAUGCCCACUGCUCUUGAGUGUGGAGCUAGGAUUCAAACCUACGUCUCCUUACUUUCAAUCCUGCUUCCUUAGAUGUAGGGAGUGCUACCUGUAAUAAGGAGGCCCAGGGAAGGCGAUUGCUCUUGGCCUUCCACGUAACAAACCCAGACAUAAGCUUUAGUCUGCGCUGCUUCUGUUGUUUUUAUUAUGGCAAUGACAAGCUCAAGGGUCAUUCUUAGGGAGGCUGUUGAGUCCUGCCUGGGAGAUGGUAAGGAGCACAGGUUCCAGAGGCAGAUCGCUAAGGCCCAACUUUUCACUUCCACACGCUUGCUGCCCGGUGGGGGAAUAAUACCGGUACCUAGCUCAUCACGCUAUAUGAGUAUAUACAAGUAUACAAGGAAUAUUUAAAUCAGUCUUACAAGUAAUGAUGAUAGUAGUAGCAGCAAUGAUGGUAGUGAUGAUGAUGAUGCAAUGAUGGCAGCUUGCUCCAUGUCAAGUAGUGCUCAAGUGCCUUAUGCAGAAUGACACACUUACCCCUCACAUCAACCCUCCGAGGUGCUGUGAUUUUCCCCUCUCAGGAGAUGAGAGAACUAAAGCACAAAGCAGUGAGGCAGCUUGCCUGAGUGCACACAUCGGGGAAGUGGUGGGGAUGAGGUGCAGGCCCAGGCAGCCCUGCUUUAGUGUGUGUCCCACGCACAAAGCGCGGGACAUCCUGCUCUGCCAUUUACCAGGCAGAGCUAUUUUCUCUGUCUCUCUGCCCGGCUCCCUCACCCUCACUUUCAUGUCUUGGUGGGGUCUUUAUGGCUUCACUCUCAUGCCUCUCAUUCACUUUCUCUCCUUCUCUCCUCCCUCUUCCUCUUCUGUUCUCCCUCCUUUGUCUCACUCUCUCUUCUUUCCAGUCCCCAGUUGUCCUCUGUCUCUAGAACCUGGGGUUGCUGCAAGGUUGCUUCCAGGUAAUGGAGCUGUUGCUGCCACGUGUGUCUUGCCCCCGCUGAAUGGCUGCUACCCCCAUAGCCACUCCUGCUCCUGAGCUCACCGGCUGCAGAGCAUGAGUUGUUACCUUGCCACCCAUGAAGACUAUGUAUCAUAAUUGUACAUUUUUUAGGUUGAAAGCCAAAUGAUGAAGCUAAUAAGGUUCAUGCUGGGAACAGAUGUUCUUACUUCUGCCCAGAUGCUGUACAUGACAAGGACUUGCUGGCACUUGAUGUCAGCGAGACUCUUGUACUCUCAUUUGAAGUGUUUCUGGCUGAAGGAUUCUUAGGAAGGGCUGAAAAGUCAUGUUGUCCUUAUAUGCAGGAGCUGGGCACAGGUCUUGAGGGGUAGAAGGUAGCCAUCUUCGGUACUUUAUAAUCCAUCUGCUUCAUAAGGACAUCAUCCCAUGCCUAUUUGCAAACUGCCUUUGUUCGCAUUUUAUAAAGACGCAUUCAGAUUUUUGCUUUUCUGGUUGUUUCAAUCUCAAGCUAAUUGGUGGUGAACAAUUCUUCCAUUUUCUGCUUUAUUUCCUCAUCUCUCCCUACUUGGAAAUCAAGAAAAGUUUUUUCUCCUCUCAUUAAGAAUCUUAAAAGAUUAUGCUAAUAUCAUUCAUUCAUUCAGUGUUUACUGAGUGCUUUCUAUGUAUAAGGCACUGGGGUGUAAAACCGGAUUUCUUCUUUUACAGCAUUUACAUUCUAGUCAGGAGAGACAGAUAAUAAACAAAUAAAUAAACAACCUAAUUUCAAAUGAGAGGAGUGCUGUGAAGGAAUGAAACAAAAGGAUGAGAGAGAGAGAGAGUGAGUGAGAGAGAGAAACUAGGGCAUAAAGUUUACUUUAUGUAAUGUAGUCAAGGUAAGUAUUUCUGAGGAGGUAACAGUUAAGUCGAGGUGAGGAAAGAACAUUCCAGCAGGAACUGGCAAGUGCAAAGGUCCUGAGGUAGGCAAGAGCUGGGGAGCUGAAGACACAGGCAGAAGGCCAGUGUUUUGGGUACAUGAGAGUAGGCAAGGGGAGGCAAGAUGAAGUCAGGCAGGGACCACAUCUUAUAAUACCCUCAGAUUUCCUCUUCCACCCCUCCCAUAAUUUCUAAAGUCAGUCAGCAAAGGAUGACUAACUAGAAAUCAUUCCCUGGGAUUUGUCUUUGAGUUCUGGUCUCCUCCCUGAACUACUGGGCAAGUAGUUUGUAGCAGUCUGUCGUUCACCAGCUCUCUUCAUGUGUACUUUGUCCUAAGGGCUAUGAUGCAGAAGGAGAACAAUAUAAACUUACCUAUAUAAGUCAUAGAUGGACUUCUUUAAAUCGAUCUUCCAGACUGUGGUUAAAUUGGCCCACAGCCACAGCUGGCAUUUCAAAGUAUCAUGCCAGGGUUCCAGCACUGUGCUCGUUAAUAAAUUGUCUUGAGACAGAGAUAAAAUCUUGCUGCUUGACUUACAUUGCAACGCAUACACACAGACAGGGGAAAUGUGUGAGUUUUAAUAGCAUUGUUGAAGCCAGGGAGGUGUGUGAUGAUGAUGGCGUGCUCUGACUCCUGACAGCUCCUCCUGCUCCUGCGAAGCCGCUCCUCAUUCAUCGCACUCUGAACAGGCAAAGCCCGGGGUUUCAUCAGGGAGUAGCUUCAAGUCGUCUGUGGCUACAUGGUCAGCACCGUACUGGGGACCCCCAGGCAACACUGUGUGGUCCCAGUUUCAGAAGCAGAGGCUGUGGUCUUUUCACAGAGCCCUGGGCCUUUUCAAGAACUGGCCAAGCUUCCCUGGACAUGGGCCACUGACCUAGCUUGGCUAUAAAGCCUGCGUUAAACCCAUCUUCAAAGAUAAGGGACAAGGUUAGCUCAGGCGCUUGUCCAAUUUCAUUCACGAGGAAACUAGAUCUACAUGUGGUCUAGAAACAUCACCAGGUGAGACAUUUUGAUGGACUUUGUGAUGAUGAUUCCAACUAGCCCAGUGAUAGGCAUUUCUAGGUUUCCCCUGGUUACUCACCGAAGUCAAUCCCUGUGCACCUGCCACACUCCACUGCCCUUUGAUACCUGUAUGCCUAUGGAUGGCUAUCCACACCAUAAAACCAAAGGUAUCUAAUUCUAGCUAAUGAUAGGCCAGGCAUGCACUGGAUGAGGGUCAGGGAACUGUCAGAGAUGAGAGAGAAGCAAGGAUAGAAUGGGCUUUGAAGAGGCAGGGAGCUGCCAAAAAAUGUCCUCCAAGUCACAGGAGAAUUGGACCUCAGAACUGUCCCACUCAAGACAAAAGUAGGUCAUCUGGGCUUGGAGGGAUGCUUCUGUAAUUGUUGUUGUUACAGAAGGUACAAGAACAGAAUUUGAACCUUUCUUGGUGCAGCUAGAAGACCCAUAACUGCUGUCUUUAAAUAUAUAAAGUGGAAGAGAGUGUUGGCCUUCUUCUUUGUGACCCUGGAAGGCAGAACUCCACCAAUAACUGUAAUUAUAUAUUAAUGUAUGGCAUUAAUUGAGUGGAUACUAUAUCCAGGAACUGGCUAUACUGUAUAAGCAGUUCUUUAACCAAUCCUCACCAUAGCUCUCCAAAGUAAUUAAUGACUGGAUCCCCCUUUUACCCAUUAGGAAACAAUAAACUGAGACACAAAGAGGUUAUGCCUUUGCCCAUGGUCACACAGCCAGCAACAGGGAGAGCCAGGAUUAGAUUCUGUAUCUCUCCAGCUCCAAAACCCAUCCUAUCUAUCUGUGCAUGUUGUCACAUUGUGAUUUGACAUAAGGAAUAACAUUCUUAAACAAUGGAAAGAGAAGAAGUGGGCUCCUUGUGGCCUGAGGUGCUUCAGCUGAGACUGUGUGCUUGCUCAAGAGAAGUCUGUAGGGGGAAUUCUCAUGCUGGGGGUUGUGCAGAGAUGUGGUUUCAGGAUUGCUGAAUCCUGUUCUAACCAUAAGACCGUGUCAUUACUGCUGGAGAGCUAGGGCGUCAUGGGCCAGCUUGUUCCCAGUUGACAGGGAGAUGGGGAGUUCAGAAAUAGCCUAGACUCAUCUCAUUGUUCCGUUCUAGAUCAGCAAUAUGUUCUAAUAAGGGCCAAUAUGUAUAUUGUCUUCUUUAUUUCACACACUUCAAAUCUGUAGGAAAUAAAAUUGGAAACCGUGAGAUACUGGCCUCAGCG